AACGUAGGAGACAAACGUUAUCCGGAGUUACUGGGCGUAAAGGGCGUGUAGGUGGUGCUGUAAGUUCGGCGUGAAAUUUUUCGGCUUAACCGGGAAAGGUCGUCGGAUACUGCAGGACUAGAGGACGGUAGAGGCGUGUGGAAUUCCGGGUGUAGUGGUGAAAUGCGUAGAGAUCCGGAGGAACACCAGUGGCGAAGGCGGCUCUCUGGACCAGCACUGACACUGAGGCACGAAAGCGUGGGGAGCAAACAGG
rnacentral:rRNA from 1 species